rnacentral:sRNA from 1 species
GCAGACGCGCUCGCUCUCACUUAUCAUCUGUCGUCAUCGUUGAACCAUUUGAGCGAUGAACUAGCAGCCACACGGACAGCCUCCUUUGUUAGAGUUGGAAAUUAUCAGAGCUUGAUGAAUAAAAUAUCUUGAUUCCUCUCAUUAUCUGCAUGCAAUGAGGAGAAGCGAGGACGUUUGAAAAAUCUUCGACCAAUGCAUAUGCCCAAAAACAGGCAGGAUUAGUUUUGGCGGUGUGCUUGUGCGAGACUGUGUUCCUCGAACAUCUAGCCCCUUGAUCAUGUAGGCUACGGCCGGGCUUUUGAAAUGAUACUUGGCUCUGACGGAAGACGUCUCUCAUUGCAAUCCCAUUCGAUUUAGCGAAAAGAGAUACCUCUCUCUGCACUUAUCACAUUCCUACAUCGUCCCCUUGCAUGAAAGCACAGGGAUGAAACAGCGAUCGAGAGUGUACAUUUAUGCAUCGGCUGGCCGUACACUAUCCCACCUGUACAAUACAUCCAUCUCUCGCCAUUCGAUGAUGUCGAUGAUGCAGCAUAUUUUCGUCAACAAUAGGUAUGCUGGAGAGAUAAGGCGAAUGCGAA